AGAGCAUGUGGUGGAUGCCUUGGCAAUGAUAGGCGACGAAAGACGUGAAAGCCUGCGAUAAGCUUCGGGGAGCUGGCAAAUAAGCAUUGAUCCGGAGAUUUCUGAAUGGGGAAACCCACCCUUAGGGGUAUCGCAUGAUGAAUACAUAGUCAUGCGAGGCGAACCGGGUGAACUGAAACAUCUCAGUAGCUCGAGGAAAAGACAUCAACCGAGAUUCCGAAAGUAGUGGCGAGCGAAAUCGGAAGAGCCUGUUAGUGAUAGCACAACUGUUAGCAAAGCGGCAUGGAAAGGCCGGCCAUAGUGGGUGAUAGCCCCGUAUGCGAAAACAGAUGUGUGGUACUGAGCUAACGACAAGUAGGGCGGGACACGAGAAAUCCUGUCUGAAUAUGGGGGGACCAUCCUCCAAGGCUAAAUACUCAUCAUUGACCGAUAGUGAACAAGUACCGUGAGGGAAAGGCGAAAAGAACCCCGGGAGGGGAGUGAAAUAGAUCCUGAAACCGCAUGCUUACAAAAAGUAGGAGCCUCGAAAGGGGUGACUGCGUACCUUUUGUAUAAUGGGUCAGCGACUUACAUUCAGUGGCAAGGUUAACCGAAUAGGGAAGCCGUAGAGAAAUCGAGUCCGAAUAGGGCGAUCAGUCGCUGGGUGUAGACCCGAAACCAAGUGAUCUAUCCAUGGGCAGGAUGAAGGUGCCGUAACAGGUACUGGAGGUCCGAACCGACUAAUGUUGCAAAAUUAGCGGAUGAGCUGUGGAUAGGGGUGAAAGGCUAAACAAACUUGGAAAUAGCUGGUUCUCUCCGAAAACUAUUUAGGUAGUGCCUCAAGUAUUACCAUCGGGGGUAGAGCACUGUUUUGGCUAGGGGGUCAUGGCGACUUACCAAACCAAGGCAAACUCCGAAUACCGAUGAGUACAGCUUGGGAGACAGAGCACCGGGUGCUAACGUCCGGACUCAAGAGGGAAACAACCCAGACCGCCAGCUAAGGUCCCUAAAAUUGGCUAAGUGGGAAACGAAGUGGGAAGGCUAAAACAGUCAGGAUGUUGGCUUAGAAGCAGCCAUCAUUUAAAGAAAGCGUAAUAGCUCACUGAUCGAGUCGUCCUGCGCGGAAGAUGUAACGGGGCUAAGCCAGUUACCGAAGCUGCGGAUUUGCAAUUUAUUGCAAGUGGUAGGAGAGCGUUCUGUAAGCCUGUGAAGGUGGAUUGUGAAGUCUGCUGGAGGUAUCAGAAGUGCGAAUGCUGACAUGAGUAGCGUUAAAGGGGGUGAAAAGCCCCCUCGCCGUAAGCGCAAGGUUUCCUACGCAACGUUCAUCGGCGUAGGGUGAGUCGGCCCCUAAGGCGAGGCAGAGAUGCGUAGCUGAUGGGAAACAGGUCAAUAUUCCUGUACCGAUUACAAGUGCGAUGUGGGGACGGAGAAGGUUAGCUCAGCCAACUGUUGGAUAUGUUGGUUCAAGCCUGUAGUCAUGCCUGGUAGGCAAAUCCGCCGGGCUAAGAUGAGGGGUGAUAACGAGUGUGCUUGCACACGAAGUGAGUGAUACCCUGCUUCCAGGAAAAGCCACUAAGCUUCAGCUUGUAAUUGACCGUACCGCAAACCGACACUGGUGCGCGAGAUGAGUAUUCUAAGGCGCUUGAGAGAACUCUGGAGAAGGAACUCGGCAAAUUGACACCGUAACUUCGGGAGAAGGUGUGCCCUCAGUAGGUGAACCUGUACAAGGGGAGCCCAAAGGGGUUGCAAAGAAUAGGUGGCUGCGACUGUUUAUUAAAAACACAGCACUCUGCAAACACGAAAGUGGACGUAUAGGGUGUGACGCCUGCCCGGUGCUGGAAGAUUAAAUGAUGGGGUGCAAGCUCUUGAUUGAAGUCCCAGUAAACGGCGGCCGUAACUAUAACGGUCCUAAGGUAGCGAAAUUCCUUGUCGGGUAAGUUCCGACCUGCACGAAUGGCGUAACGAUGGCCACACUGUCUCCUCCAGAGACUCAGCGAAGUUGAAAUGUUUGUGAUGAUGCAAUCUCCCCGCGGAAAGACGGAAAGACCCCAUGAACCUUUACUGUAGCUUUGUAUUGGACUUUGAACAGAUCUGUGUAGGAUAGGUGGGAGGCUUUGAAGCGAGGUCGCUAGAUCUCGUGGAGCCAACGUUGAAAUACCACCCUGGUGUGUUUGAGGUUCUAACCUAGGUCCAUUAUCUGGAUCGGGGACAGUGCAUGGUAGGCAGUUUGACUGGGGCGGUCUCCUCCCAAAGCGUAACGGAGGAGUUCGAAGGUACGCUAGUUACGGUCGGACAUCGUGAUAAUAGUGCAAUGGCAUAAGCGUGCUUAACUGCGAGACUGACAAGUCGAGCAGAUACGAAAGUAGGACAUAGUGAUCCGGUGGUUCUGUAUGGAAGGGCCAUCGCUCAACGGAUAAAAGGUACUCUGGGGAUAACAGGCUGAUACCGCCCAAGAGUUCAUAUCGACGGCGGUGUUUGGCACCUCGAUGUCGGCUCAUCUCAUCCUGGGGCUGUAGCCGGUCCCAAGGGUAUGGCUGUUCGCCAUUUAAAGAGGUACGUGAGCUGGGUUUAAAACGUCGUGAGACAGUUUGGUCCCUAUCUUCCGUGGGCGCUGCAGAUUUGAGGAAGCCUGCUCCUAGUACGAGAGGACCGGAGUGGACACACCUCUGGUGUAUCGGUUGUCACGCCAGUGGCAUUGCCGAGUAGCUAAGUGUGGAAGAGAUAACCGCUGAAAGCAUCUAAGCGGGAAACUCGUUUCAAGAUGAGAUCUGCCGGGGCCUUGA
rnacentral:rRNA from 1 species